UACAGAGGUGGCAAGCGUUGUUCGGAAUUACUGGGCGUAAAGGGCGCGUAGGCGGUUCGAUAAGUCCCGUGUGAAAUCCCUCGGCUCAACUGAGGAACUGCACGGGAAACUGACGGGCUUGAGUUCGGGAGAGGGAAGCGGAAUUCCGGGUGUAGCGGUGAAAUGCGUAGAUAUCCGGAGGAACACCGGUGGCGAAGGCGGUUCUCUGGGCAUGAUCUGACGCUGAGGAGCGAAAGUGUGGGGAGCGAACAGG
rnacentral:rRNA from 1 species